rnacentral:rRNA from 1 species
AUUGAACGCUGGCGGCAUGCCUUACACAUGCAAGUCGAACGGCAGCACGGGAGCAAUCCUGGUGGCGAGUGGCGAACGGGUGAGUAAAGUAUCGGAACGUGCCCAGUCGUGGGGGAUAACGUAGCGAAAGUUACGCUAAUACCGCAUACGAUCUAUGGAUGAAAGCGGGGGAGCUGAAGACCUCGCGCGAUUGGAGCGGCCGAUAUCAGAGUAGGUAGUUGGUGGGGUAAAGGCUCACCAAGCCGACGAUCUGUAGCUGGUCUGAGAGGACGACCAGCCACACUGGGACUGAGACACGGCCCAGACUCCUACGGGAGGCAGCAGUGGGGAAUUUUGGACAAUGGGCGAAAGCCUGAUCCAGCCAUGCCGCGUGCAGGAUGAAGGCCUUCGGGUUGUAAACUGCUUUUGUACGGAACGAAAAGGUUUGGGCUAAUAAGCUGAGCUCAUGACGGUACCGUAAGAAUAAGCACCGGCUAACUACGUGCCAGCCGCCGCAGUAA